GAUGAACGCUGGCGGCGUGCCUAAUACAUGCAAGUCGAGCGAACGGACGAGAAGCUGGCUUUUCUGAUGUUAGCGGCGGACGGGUGAGUAACACGUGGAUAACCUACCUAUAAGACUGGGAUAACUUCGGGAAACCGGAGCUAAUACCGGAGAAUAUUUUGAACCGCAGGGUGCAAAAGUGAAAGACGGUCUUGCUGUCACUUAUAGAUGGAUCCGCGCUGCAUUAGCUAGUUGGUAAGGUAACGGCUUACCAAGGCAACGAUGCAUAGGCGACCUGAGAGGGUGGUCGGCCACACUGGAACUGAGACACGGUCCCGACUCCUACGGGAGGCAGCAGUAGGGAAUCUUCCGCAAAGGGCGAAAGCCUUACGGCGCAACGCCGCGUGAGUGAUGAAGGUCUUCGGAUCGUAAAACUCUGUUAUUCGGGAAGAACAUAUGUGUCCGUAACUGUGCACAUCUUGACGGUACCUGAUCAGAAAGCCACGGCUAACUACGUG
rnacentral:rRNA from 1 species